UACGAAGGGGGCUAGCGUUGCUCGGAAUGACUGGGCGUAAAGGGCGCGUAGGCGGCGCUCCAAGUCAGGCGUGAAAUUCCCGGGCUCAACCUGGGGGCUGCGCUUGAGACUGGAGUGCUUGAGGGUGAGAGAGGCUCGUGGAAUUCCCAGAGUAGAGGUGAAAUUCGUAGAUAUUGGGAAGAACACCGGUGGCGAAGGCGGCGAGCUGGCUCAUUUCUGACGCUGAGGCGCGAAAGCGUGGGGAGCAAACAGG
rnacentral:rRNA from 1 species